GGGCCCGUAGCUUAGCAUGGUUAUAGCGCCCGGCUGAUAACCGGGAGGUCGAGGGUUCAAAUCCCUCCGGGCCCA
rnacentral:tRNA from 2 species